rnacentral:pre_miRNA from 1 species
CUACAUCUUCAUGUUGGUCUACAUCUUCAUGUUGGUCUACAUCUUCAUCAUGCGUUGGUCUACAUCAUGAAGAUGUAGACCAACAUGAAGAUGUAGACUAACAGGAAGAUGUAGA